rnacentral:snRNA from 1 species
AUACUUACCUGGCAGGGGAGACACCAUCAUCAUGAAGGUGGUUUUCCCAGGGCGAAGCUUAUCCAUUGCACUGCGCGGAUGUGCUGACCCUGGUGAUUUCCCCAAAUGUNNNN